AAUAUUGCGCAAUGGGGGGAACCCUGAUGCAGCAACGCCGCGUGAGCGAUGAAGGACUUCGGGCCGUAAGGCUCUGUCUUAAGGGAAGAUAAUGAAGGUACCUUAGGAGGAAGGCACGGCUAACUACGUGCCAGCCGCCGCGGUAAUACGUAGGGGGCAUGCGUUAUCCGGAAUCAUUGGGCGGAAAGGGUGCGUAGGCUGCCCUAUAGGUCAGAGGUCAAAGGCUACCGCUCAACCGUAGUAAGCCUUUGAAACUGUAGGGCUUGAGUGCGGGAGAGGGGAGUGGAAUUCCUAGUGUAGCGGUGAAAUGCGUAGAUAUUAGGAGGAACACCAGUGGCGAAGGCGACUCUCUGGACUGAAACUGACGCUGAGGCACGAAAGCGUGGGUAGCGAACA
rnacentral:rRNA from 1 species